rnacentral:rRNA from 1 species
UACGGAGGGUGCGAGCGUUAUUCGGAAUUACUGGGCGUAAAGCGCGCGUAGGUGGCUUGAUAAGCCGGUUGUGAAAGCCCCGGGCUCAACCUGGGAACGGCAUCCGGAACUGUCAGGCUAGAGUGCAGGAGAGGAAGGUAGAAUUCCCGGUGUAGCGGUGAAAUGCGUAGAGAUCGGGAGGAAUACCAGUGGCGAAGGCGGCCUUCUGGACUGACACUGACACUGAGGUGCGAAAGCGUGGGUAGCAAACAGG